AUUGAACGCUGGCGGCAGGCCUAACACAUGCAAGUCGAGCGAGCGGCGGACGGGUGAGUCAUGUCUGGUAAACUGCCUUAUGGCUGGUGCUAACUACUGGAACCGGUAUCUAAUACCGCAUACCAUCAGCUUUGCCCAGAUGGGAUUAGCUAGUAGGUGGGGUAAUGGCUCACCUCGGCGACGAUCCCUAGCUGGUCUGAGAGGAUGACCAGCCACACUGGAACUGAGACACGGUCCAGACUCCUACGGGAGGCAGAAGUGGGGAAGAUUGAACAAUGGGCGAAAGCCUGAUGCAGCCAUGCGGCGUGUGGGAAGAAGGCCUUCGGGUUGUAAAGCACUUUCAGCGGGGAGGCGUUACCAGCAGAAGAAGCACCGGCUAACUCCGUGCCAGCAGCCGCGGUAAUAC
rnacentral:rRNA from 1 species